AAAAAAAAAAAAAAAAAGAAAUGCAAAAUGAAGGGCUUCUGAAAUGCACAAAGAAUGUAUUUAAGGGUCUUUCAUUUUAAAUCAAACACUUACAUAGCACUUACUACUUGCAACGCUCCAUUCUAAGCACUUUACCCAUCUUAAUUCAUUUAAUUCUCUUCUGAACCCUAAGAAGCAGGUAUUACCACUGCUCCAAUCUUACAGAUGAGGAAACUCAAGCAUGGAGAGGUUGAGUGACUUGCCCAAAUUCAUGCAGUUAGGACCUGGCAGAGCUGGGGUUUGAACCUAGGCUCCCUGGCUCUAGAGUGUGUGCACAAAACUUCACUGCCAUAUGAGCGAAACUGCAGGACAGAUGUUCUCAAAGCAAAUAACCCUCCCAGAGGUAAGAGUUAGGUUCUGUUUCCCCACUGGUUUGUGUAACUCAAGAGGGGAGCUAUUACUAAAAGCUAAAGCGGGUAGGCCAAGGUUGCAUGCAAAGCUGAUAGUUGCUGAGUCAAUGAAUAGCUGCAUGAUGUGCAAUGAGGUGGAGAAAGACAUUAACGUGAAAGAAUUUGAUUACUUUUUACUGGAGGAACCCAGAACCACACAGAGCCCUGAGGGCAUUGCCCCAGUGCCCACAGGUAAAUCAGGGACAGCUAGACCCUUUCCACAGUGCCUUUCCUGGGGGUUGUCUCAUGCCCUUGAGUUAGGAGUCAACCCUAUGGGAUCCUCUGGGCUAAAUCAGCCACUGAGGGGCUACAGUUGACCUAGCGAUGUCCAGACUGGGGCUGGGUAGCCCUCUGCUCUAUGAAUCCCCAAAACUUCAUCCAGACUCUGCAUCCCUUUGUUCUGUAAAUGGGUCUAGUUCUCUGAUUCUCAAAGGCUCCUGGAGGGCAGGGGUUUUGUCUUAUUCACAUUGAAAUCUUUAGGAUCUGCAGCAUCCAGCAGGUGGAGAGGAGGAGAGAUUUAGCAUUGAUUAUGCGUCUGUUCCUGGCCAGGAGUCCCACCCCUGCCACCUUACCUGAUCUUCACAACACCCCUUAGAGGGCAUUCCUUGAAGGGGAAGAUAUUACCAGCCCCCACUUAGAGAGGCUUUUCCUGAUGACUCCAGGGACCUGCCCUAGCCUGGUCUGACUUCCCAGAGGGGAUCCAGUCCCAACAUGGGCCCUAUAUUUAGACCACAUUUCCAUCCCAUUCUCAAUGAAAAACCCUGAGUCGUGACAGAAGACAACCAAUGCUGGAGAGAGGAGGCUUCAGCAUCCACCUGUGUUAAUCAAGAGGGUUUUGAGCUAUAUAUGUGCCCAGCUCUGUGACUGGAGAAGGAAAGUCACGUAAGACACAGUCCUUGCCUUCAUAAGACGUGCAACCUGUGGGCAGAUGAGUCCUACACAGGAAGCGGGGGCAAGAGGGGAACUGUGAGCACUGAGGAGCGCGGCUCUGCCACAGGGAACAGAGUGCAGCUACCGCUGGCCUUUUCUCAGGCACAGCUGAGAUGCUAAGAAGGGAGGAACUUCACCACUAAAGGAAGAACUGAACCUGGUGGAGAGAAGCCCAGGAGGCAAGUUAUCUUGAUAGGAUUAUCCGGGAAAAAUAUUAAAUAGGUUUUAAGAAGGUUCAGGAUGGUAAAGACCAUGCAAAAAAAGAAAAAAGUAAAAUCCCUGAGGGAUUCUGCAUUCAGAUGACUCCACAAUAUAAAUCCAAAAUCCAAACUGAAAUCGGAAGACCCAGACAGUGCAUUAUUAAUAUGGCACAGGCAAGAGAGACACGAAAUUUCAACUGGCUGAUCAGACACCAAGAGAAGACCUGGGCCCUGUGUCAAAAGAUGGGUGAACGAAUUUACAUUUAUAUAGUUUCAGUUAAAGUAAAAUCUUGAAAAUCUA